GUUUUUUGUUUCUUUUUU
rnacentral:sRNA from 1 species